rnacentral:rRNA from 1 species
GAAAGAGGGGGCAAGCGUUGUCCGGGGGUACUGGGCGUAAAGGGCGCGGAGGCGGUCUGCGGCGUCGGCGCUGAAAGCGCCCCGCUUAACGGGGCGAGGCGUGCCGAUACGCGCAGACUUGAGGCGAGCAGAGGGUGGUGGAAUUCCGGGUGGAGCGGUGAAAUGCGUAGAGAUCCGGAGGAACGCCAGUGGGGAAGCCGGCCACCUGGGCUCGUCCUGACGCUGCGGCGCGACCGCGUGGGGAGCAAACCGG